AUUGAACGCUGGCGGAAUGCUUUACACAUGCAAGUCGAACAGCAGCACGGACUUCGGUCUGGUGGCGAGUGGCGAACGGGUGAGUAAUGUAUCGGAACGUGCCCAGUCGUGGGGGAUAACGUAGCGAAAAUUACGCUAAUACCGCAUACGAUCUAUGGAUGAAAGCGGGGGAUCGCAAGACCUCGCGCGAUUGGAGCGGCCGAUAUCAGAUUAGGUAGUUGGUGGGGUAAAGGCCCACCAAGCCAACGAUCUGUAGCUGGUCUGAGAGGACGACCAGCCACACUGGAACUGAGACACGGUCCAGACUCCUACGGGAGGCAGCAGUGGGGAAUUUUGGACAAUGGGCGAAAGCCUGAUCCAGCCAUUCCGCGUGCAGGAUGAAGGCCCUCGGGUUGUAAACUGCUUUUGUACAGAACGAAAAGGUUUCUACUAAUACUAGGAGCUCAUGACGGUACUGUAAGAAUAAGCACCGGCUAACUACGUGCCAGCCGCCGCAGUAAGAC
rnacentral:rRNA from 1 species